CGCGGUGUGUUAACAGAGUUGGAUCUGACUAGUAGAGCAAGGGACACUGUAACAGAGAGACAAAGAAGAAGAAGAAGUGGUUGCCGGAGUGAAGUUCAAAUCUUUUUCGAAAAUGGUGAAGCCUUCGUCAUCGUCGUCCUCUACGAGCCAGGACGCCCUUGCCCAUUUCAAUUCUUUGAGAUCGGCUUAAUCCGCCACUCUACCGCUCUCAAGAUCAUUGAUCUCUAUGUUGGUUUCGCGGUAUCCACAGCUAUCAUCCAGCCAAAAUGAAGCCUUUUUCACCAAAGCUCCCCAGCUAUGUCGUGGACUGUCCGCCUCUUCCUCUCCGCCGCUUCCUUCGCAGUCGACACCUCUUGCCGCUCAAACUACGCCAUCAACCACCCGCCAUCACCUCAUGAACUUGCUGGUGGCAGAAGAGGUACUACGAGGGGUUGAAGAAACGCGGGAAACAAGCGGAGCUGGUGGUGUUUCCGAAUACCAUUCACAUUUUCUCUGCUGAUCCCGAGUUGGAAGACCCUACCCUUGUACGUUUAUUCAAAAAGUUAAUGCAACUCGAACAAAAUAUUAACGGAGUCAUUAAUCAUGUAAUUUUUUAAUUUUCAAUUUUGUGCCAAUUUGUUUCUCAGAAUAUAUAAAUGGCAAUAAAAUAAAAGAGAAAUUCAAAAUUUGGGAUGAACUAUGUAUUGCUGCUCCAUCGAGCCACCAGCACUCCAGCAGGCAUAAUUAAAGGACAUAAGAUGCAUGUGUUCAUUCGAUCACACGAAUUCUGGAUG